AGAGUUUGAUCCUGGCUCAGAACGAACGCUGGCGGCAUGCCUAACACAUGCAAGUCGAACGAGGGCUUCGGCCCUAGUGGCGCACGGGUGAGUAACGCGUGGGAACCUGCCCUGUGGUACGGAAUAACUCCGGGAAACUGGAGCUAAUACCGUAUGUGUCCUGCGGGACAAAGAUUUAUCGCCAUGGGAUGGGCCCGCGUAGGAUUAGCUUGUUGGUGGGGUAACGGCCUACCAAGGCAACGAUCCUUAGCUGGUCUGAGAGGAUGGUCAGCCACACUGGGACUGAGACACGGCCCAGACUCCUACGGGAGGCAGCAGUGGGGAAUAUUGGACAAUGGGCGCAAGCCUGAUCCAGCAAUGCCGCGUGAGUGAUGAAGGCCUUCGGGUUGUAAAGCUCUUUCGCACGCGACGAUGAUGACGGUAGCGUGAGAAGAAGCCCCGGCUAACUUCGUG
rnacentral:rRNA from 1 species